UACGUAGGGUGCGAGCGUUGUCCGGAAUUAUUGGGCGUAAAGAGCUCGUAGGCGGUCUGUCGCGUCCGUUGUGAAAACUCGAGGCUCAACCUCGGGCUUGCAGUGGAUACGGGCAGACUAGAGUGCGGUAGGGGAGACUGGAAUUCCUGGUGUAGCGGUGGAAUGCGCAGAUAUCAGGAAGAACACCAAUGGCGAAAGCAGCUUUCUGGGACGGUACUGACGCUGAGACGCGAAAGCGUGGGGAGCGAACAGG
rnacentral:rRNA from 1 species